CCUACGGAUGGCAGCAGUGGGGAAUAUUGGACAAUGGGGGGAACCCUGAUCCAGCCAUGCCGCGUGUGUGAAGAAGGCCCUCGGGUUGUAAAGCACUUUCAGUGAGGAAGAACGCCUGGUGGUUAAUACCCAUCAGGAAAGACAUCACUCACAGAAGAAGCACCGGCUAACUCCGUGCCAGCAGCCGCGGUAAUACGGAGGGUGCGAGCGUUAAUCGGAAUUACUGGGCGUAAAGCGCGCGUAGGUGGCUUGAUAAGCCGGUUGUGAAAGCCCCGGGCUCAACCUGGGAACGGCAUCCGGAACUGUCAAGCUAGAGUGCAGGAGAGGAAGGUAGAAUUCCCGGUGUAGCGGUGAAAUGCGUAGAGAUCGGGAGGAAUACCAGUGGCGAAGGCGGCCUUCUGGACUGACACUGACACUGAGGUGCGAAAGCGUGGGUAGCAAACAGGAUUAGAUACCCUGGUAGUC
rnacentral:rRNA from 1 species